UUGUUUUGUUUCUAUUUUUAUUUUGGCUGUCAUAUUUUUGUUAUAUUUUAUUCUUUCCUCAUGACUUCGAGCUCGGGUGUUGGGUAAGAGAUCAGUUCGUCUAUUGUACGUUUGGUAUUUUAUUUUAAUUAUGGGUUGUUAUGUUCAAUAGAACAAGGGGUUGUUCACUAGGUUUUGUUUGCAAUUGCAUCGUUGUGCCUUUAGGAGAUGAUCAAGGGCUGUUUGGUGUUCCUCCAGAGACUUAGGAUUCGUGUAGUGUUGCUCGUUUAAUGAUUCAAAUUCUAAACAUUUUCAGCAACUUGGAAAUUGAUCUAUCCACUGCCCUUUAUCAUUCGGUAUCAAAUUUUGGAACGCUUUUUGUAUCCUUGGUGUGCUAAGAUUGAAUUCAUGUCUGUUGUUACUUGGGUGCCUCCCAAAGAUGUUGUUACUUUAUAUAUAUUAAAGCGAUAAUUUUUUUUAAUUUAUAAA